GAUGAACGCUGGCGGCGUGCCUAAUACACGCCAGUCGAGCGAACAGAUGAGGAGCUUGCUCCUCUGACGUUAGCGGCGGACGGGUGAGUAACACGUGGAUAACCUACCUAUAAGACUGGGAUAACUUCGGGAAACCGGAGCUAAUACCGGAUAAUAUAUUGAACCGCAUGGUUCAAUAGUGAAAGACGGUUUUGCUGUCACUUAUAGAUGGAUCCGCGCCGCAUUAGCUAGUUGGUAAGGUAACGGCUUACCAAGGCAACGAUGCGUAGCCGACCUGAGAGGGUGAUCGGCCACACUGGAACUGAGACACGGUCCAGACUCCUACGGGAGGCAGCAGUAGGGAAUCUUCCGCAAUGGGCGAAAGCUUGACGGAGCAACGCCGCGUGAGUGAUGAAGGUCUUCGGAUCGUAAAACUCUGUUAUUAGGGAAGAACAAGUGUGUAAGUAACUAUGCACGUCUUGACGGUACCUAAUCAGAAAGCCACGGCUAACUACGUG
rnacentral:rRNA from 1 species